CCUUACACAUGCAAGUCGAACGGUAACAGGUCUUCGGAUGCUGACGAGUGGCGAACGGGUGAGUAAUACAUCGGAACGUGCCCGAGAGUGGGGGAUAACGAAGCGAAAGCUUUGCUAAUACCGCAUACGAUCUCAGGAUGAAAGCAGGGGACCGCAAGGCCUUGCGCUCACGGAGCGGCCGAUGGCAGAUUAGGUAGUUGGUGGGAUAAAAGCUUACCAAGCCGACGAUCUGUAGCUGGUCUGAGAGGACGACCAGCCACACUGGGACUGAGACACGGCCCAGACUCCUACGGGAGGCAGCAGUGGGGAAUUUUGGACAAUGGGCGCAAGCCUGAUCCAGCCAUGCCGCGUGCAGGAUGAAGGCCUUCGGGUUGUAAACUGCUUUUGUACGGAACGAAAAGACUCUGGUUAAUACCUGGGGUCCAUGACGGUACCGUAAGAAUAAGCACCGGCUAACUACGUGCCAGCAGCCGCGGUAAUACGUAGGGUGCGAGCGUUAAUCGGAAUUACUGGGCGUAAAGCGUGCGCAGGCGGUUAUGUAAGACAGAUGUGAAAUCCCCGGGCUCAACCUGGGAACUGCAUUUGUGACUGCGUAGCUAGAGUACGGCAGAGGGGGAUGGAAUUCCGCGUGUAGCAGUGAAAUGCG
rnacentral:rRNA from 1 species